rnacentral:rRNA from 1 species
GAUGAACGCUGGCGGCGUGCCUAAUACAUGCAAGUCGAGCGAACAGACGAGGAGCUUGCUCCUCUGACGUUAGCGGCGGACGGGUGAGUAACACGUGGAUAACCUACCUAUAAGACUGGGAUAACUUCGGGAAACCGGAGCUAAUACCGGAUAAUAUAUUGAACCGCAUGGUUCAAUAGUGAAAGACGGUUUUGCUGUCACUUAUAGAUGGAUCCGCGCCGCAUUAGCUAGUUGGUAAGGUAACGGCUUACCAAGGCAACGAUGCGUAGCCGACCUGAGAGGGUGAUCGGCCACACUGGAACUGAGACACGGUCCAGACUCCAACGGGAGGCAGCAGUAGGGAAUCUUCCGCAAUGGGCGAAAGCCUGACGGAGCAACGCCGCGUGAGUGAUGAAGGUCUUCGGAUCGUAAAACUCUGUUAUUAGGGAAGAACAAAUGUGUAAGUAAUUAUGCACGUCUUGACGGUACCUAAUCAGAAAGCCACGGCUAACUACGUG